GGAAACUGGGGGCUCCAAGCCAGAGUCACAAAGACGUAUGACCAGUAACCUACAGAAAGGACUUGCCCAGGAGAAACUUGAACAAAUCCACCAGCCUCUGCAAAGAGAACAUGAGAAAUAUCAGGAACCUGUGCAGCAAUCUGAAAAAAAUCUGAGUGAGUCCCAUAAUGAAGACCUGGAAAAAGAUAAAACUUCACAGAACUGCCUGGAGAGAAAUGCGGAACAAGCAACGGAG